GAUAUCAUAACGACUACUUUAUCGCAAAUAGUUCGCGCCUUCGCGGAACCCGAAUAAACUAGGUAUACAGCAUGACUAAAUAAAUUUAGUCAUGGUAUACAGUAAGUCAGUAAGCUGUAUCAUUGACUGUAAAUACUAUAGUGCUUUUACUCAAUGGUAAUAUCACGGAAUAACUGUUAUUCUGUGGUAAUAUCUCAUACGCAUUGACGCAUUGUAUAAUACACGGUUAUAAGUGGUAUGGGCCGUUGGCGCGCUCGUGACUUAAGCCGCAUGCGCACGAAUUCCACGCGAUCGUAACUGAUAAUAAAUAUUUGUGCUGGUGUGCCUUGUCCGUCGCAGCGUAGAGGAAUAUAAUAUUUUAUUAAUAUAAUGUGCUCUGUGCGUUCGGCGUUGCACUCGGCCGACACCUCCGUUGGUAAGUUUUUGCGCGUUUGACGUGUUUUUCGCGAUUGGCCGUCACAACACACUUCAGUUUCUGCGUCGUCUUCCUUGCGUGCCGUCACUUGUCGAGCUCUCAAAUAUAAUGUUUUAAAGUGAUCCGUCGUGGUGUGGCGUCGAGCGACGGGAGGCUCGAGGAGCGGACCUCCAGCCGUUGGAACUAGCCAUCAUCCCACCGGCAGUGAACGGGAUGGCCUGCAUCGCUUUUUCACAGAUAAACUGUUUUAAUACUAAGAUGAUGAAGAUGAUCCGCAAUCUCAACAAUUGGUAGCAACAAAAGAUAGUAUUGCAGAAGUUAAUCAAUCUAUCAAUACUAAUUUUCACGAUGAAAAAGGCUCGGAACCUCAAUUGGUUGAAAUAAAAGAUAAUACUGUAGAGGCACCCAAGAUAAAUAUGGUA